CAGCCGCCGCGGGAAUACGUAGGGGGCAAGCGUUAUCCGGAAUAACUGGGCGUAAAGGGUGCGCAGGUGGUUUAACAAGUUAGUGGUGAAAGGCAUAGGCUCAACCAAUGUAAGCCAUUAAAACUGUUUAACUUGAGUGCAGGAGAGGAAAGUGGAAUUCCUAGUGUAGCGGUGAAAUGCGUAGAUAUUAGGAGGAAUACCAGUGGCGAAGGCGACUUUCUGGACUGCAACUGGCACUGAGGCACGAAAGCGUGGGGAGCAAACAGGAUUAGAUACCCCUGUAGUCCCUGUCUCUUAUACA
rnacentral:rRNA from 1 species